rnacentral:rRNA from 1 species
UAGGGAAUCUUCGGCAAUGGGGGGAACCCUGACCGAGCAACGCCGCGUGAGUGAAGAAGGUUUUCGGAUCGUAAAGCUCUGUUGUUAAGGAAGAACGAGUGUGAGAAUGGAAAGUUCAUACUGUGACGGUACUUAACCAGAAAGGGACGGCUAACUACGUGCCAGCAGCCGCGGUAAUACGUAGGUCCCGAGCGUUGUCCGGAUUUAUUGGGCGUAAAGCGAGCGCAGGCGGUUAGAUAAGUCUGAAGUUAAAGGCAGUGGCUCAACCAUUGUAGGCUUUGGAAACUGUUUAACUUGAGUGCAGAAGGGGAGAGUGGAAUUCCAUGUGUAGCGGUGAAAUGCGUAGAUAUAUGGAGGAACACCGGUGGCGAAGGCGACUCGCGGGUCUGUAACUGACGCUGAGGCUCGAAAGCGUGGGGAGCGAACAGG